rnacentral:ncRNA from 2 species
AAGGAACGCCAUUGGUUAUGUAACCCCCUGAAAUAACUGGUCGCGGGGUGCAGGAAGGCGGUGCGAAUCCGCCACGGUAGCGCCACUGUAACCGGGUACCCAGCCCCAUUGUGCCACUGCCGGAAUGGCGGGAAGGCGGGGUGGGGGGUCGAUCCGGAAGUCAGGAUACUGCACCGCGGCCUGGAACGGA